rnacentral:rRNA from 1 species
AUUGAACGCUGGCGGCAUGCCUUACACAUGCAAGUCGAACGGCAGCGCGGACUUCGGUCUGGCGGCGAGUGGCGAACGGGUGAGUAAUACAUCGGAACGUACCCUGUUGUGGGGGAUAACUAGUCGAAAGAUUAGCUAAUACCGCAUACGACCUGAGGGUGAAAGUGGGGGACCGCAAGGCCUCACGCAGCAGGAGCGGCCGAUGUCUGAUUAGCUAGUUGGUGGGGUAAAGGCCCACCAAGGCGACGAUCAGUAGCUGGUCUGAGAGGACGAUCAGCCACACUGGGACUGAGACACGGCCCAGACUCCUACGGGAGGCAGCAGUGGGGAAUUUUGGACAAUGGGGGCAACCCUGAUCCAGCAAUGCCGCGUGUGUGAAGAAGGCCUUCGGGUUGUAAAGCACUUUUGUCCGGAAAGAAAUCGCGCUGGUUAAUACCUGGCGUGGAUGACGGUACCGGAAGAAUAAGCACCGGCUAACUACGUGCCAGCAGCCGCGGUAAUACGUAGGGUGCGAGCGUUAAUCGGAAUUACUGGGCGUAAAGCGUGCGCAGGCGGUUUUGUAAGACAGGCGUGAAAUCCCCGGGCUUAACCUGGGAAUUGCGCUUGUGACUGCAAGGCUAGAGUGCGUCAGAGGGGGGUAGAAUUCCACGUGUAGCAGUGAAAUGCGUAGAGAUGUGGAGGAAUACCGAUGGCGAAGGCAGCCCCCUGGGACGUGACUGACGCUCAUGCACGAAAGCGUGAGGAGCAAACAGG